rnacentral:rRNA from 1 species
GAUGAACGCUGGCGGCGUGCCUAAUACAUGCAAGUCGAGCGGUAAGGCCUCUUCGGAGGUACACGAGCGGCGGACGGCUGAGUAACACGUAGGAACGUACCCCAAAGUGAGGCAUAAGCACCAGAAAUGGUGUCUAAUACCGCAUGUGGCCCUAGGGCUAAAGCUCCGGCGCUUUGGGAACGGCCUGCGCAUGAUUAGCUUGUUGGUGAGGUAAUAGCUCACCAAGGCGACGAUCAUUAGCUGGUCUGAGAGGAUGAUCAGCCAGACUGGGACUGAG